AUUUUAGAAGUAUAGGUUGUACAGUUACCUUCCAAGUAAAAGGCUGCUAUA
rnacentral:tRNA from 1 species